CCUACGGGAGGCAGCAGUGAGGAAUAUUGGUCAAUGGUCGUAAGCCUGAACCAGCCAAGCCGCGUGAGGGAUGAAGGUUCUAUGUAUCGUAAACCUCUUUUAUCAGGGAAUAAAGUGCGGGACGUGUCCCCUGUUGUGUGUACCUUAUGAAUAAGGAUCGGCUAACUCCGUGCCAGCAGCCGCGGUAAUACGGAGGAUCCGAGCGUUAUCCGGAUUUAUUGGGUUUAAAGGGUGCGUAGGUGGAUUGUUAAGUCAGUUGUGAAAGGUUGCGGCUCAACCGUAACAUUGCAGUUGAAACUGGCAGUCUUGAGUACAGUAGAGGUGGGCGGAAUGCGUGGUGUAGCGGUGAAAUGCAUAGAUAUCACGAAGAACUCCGAUUGCGAAGGCAGUUCACUGGACUGAAACUGACACUGAGGCACGAAAGUGUGGGUAUCAAACAGGAUUAGAUACCCCUGUAGUC
rnacentral:rRNA from 1 species